rnacentral:lncRNA from 1 species
AUUAUUUAGUACCGAGUUGGGUAUAAUUCCAAGGUCUCAUGCCCUAGAACUACAUGCCACCGUAGAUUUAUGAUUUGCCCAUAGUGGGCUAAGAUAGUGAUCACUAAAGUUAAGGUUCUAUUGUGAUGGCAAGGGUAGGAUAGCUCUUCCUAAUGUGGAAAAGACGUUGGAAUCCAUGUCAGCUUACAUGGUUUAUGUCUGUUAGAAGAAACUCCCAAAGUUCUACAAUCCUUAAGUUUCAAAAGAAGU